GGACAAUGAGUCAGUCCUGUGAACACUGCAGUUAGGUCAGGCAGAGGGAAUUUGCACCCCUCGCCCCUCUGGGCAGUUCCAGAGUUCAAGCUUUUGUCUUAGGCCAAACGAAACAAGCCCAAGCAGGCGCUGAAACAGGCAGGUCACCGUGACCCCAAUAAUUGUCCUUGCCAGGGAUAAAAAGUCUUUUGAACUAAGAGUAGCAGCAGCCCCAGGAGCUGAACAGGAAGGAGAUUGCACCUGGCCAGAGAGCACUCCCACACACACCACACACCACACACCACACCACACACCACACACACCACACAACACACAAAACACCACACACACCCAUCCACACACCACACACACCACACAACACACAACACACCACACCACAUACCACUCACCACACCACACACACCCAUCCACACAGCACACAACACACCACACAACACACCACACACACCCAUCCACACACCACACAACACACAACACACCACACACAUCACACACCACACACCACACCACACACCACUCACACCACACACACCCAUCCACACAGCACACAACACACCACACAACACACCACACACACCACACACACACCACACACUACACCACACACAUCACACACACCCAUCCACACAGCACACAACACACCACACAACACACAACACACCACACACACCCACACACCACACACACCACACAACACACAACACACCACACACACCCAUCCACACACACCACACACACCCAUCCAUACACACCACACACACACAUCCAUACACACCACACCCAUACACACACACCACACUCAUUCAUACACACCACACACACACAUCCACACACAUUUCAUACACACACACACAUCCACACACACACCACACACUCCACGCACCCAUCCACACACAC
rnacentral:lncRNA from 1 species